rnacentral:rRNA from 1 species
UACUCGAGUGGCGAACGGGUGAGUAACACGUGGGUGAUCUGCCCUGCACUUCGGGAUAAGCCUGGGAAACUGGGUCUAAUACCGGAUAGGAGCCAUUUUUAGUGUGAUGGUUGGAAAGUUUUUUCGGUGUAGGAUGAGCUCGCGGCCUAUCAGCUUGUUGGUAGGGUAAUGGCCUACCAAGGCGGCGACGGGUAGCCGGCCUGAGAGGGUGGACGGCCACAUUGGGACUGAGAUACGGCCCAG